AAUAUUGCACAAUGGGCGCAAGCCUGAUGCAGCCAUGCCGCGUGUGUGAAGAAGGCCUUCGGGUGUAAAGCACUUUCAGUUGUGAGGAAGGUGGUGUCGUUAAUAGCGGCAUCAUUUGACGUUAGCAACAGAAGAAGCACCGGCUAACUCCGUGCCAGCAGCCGCGGUAAUACGGAGGGUGCGAGCGUUAAUCGGAAUUACUGGGCGUAAAGCGCAUGCAGGUGGUUUGUUAAGUCAGAUGUGAAAGCCCCGGGGCUCAACCUCGGAACUGCAUUUGAAACUGGCAGACUAGAGUACUGUAGAGGGGGUAGAAUUUCAGGGUGUAGCGGUGAAAUGCGUAGAGAUCUGAAGGAAUACCGGUGGCGAAGGCGGCCCCCCUGGACAGAUACUGACACUCAGAUGCGAAAGCGUGGGGAGCAAACAGGAUUAGAUACCCCUGGUAG
rnacentral:rRNA from 1 species